rfam:Anolis carolinensis unplaced genomic scaffold chrTn0095, whole genome shotgun sequence.
UGGGUUCUUGCUUCAACAGUGUUUGAACGGGACCCG